GUAGGUGGCUAGCGUUGUCCGGAAUUAUUGGGCGUAAAGCGCGCGCAGGCGGUUCUUUAAGUCUGAUGUGAAAGCCCACGGCUCAACCGUGGAGGGUCAUUGGAAACUGGAGAACUUGAGUACAGAAGAGGAAAGCGGAAUUCCACGUGUAGCGGUGAAAUGCGUAGAGAUGUGGAGGAACACCAGUGGCGAAGGCGGCUUUCUGGUCUGUAACUGACGCUGAGGCGCGAAAGCGUGGGGAGCAAACAGGAUUAGAUACCCUGGUAGUCCACGCCGUAAACGAUGAGUGCUAAGUGUUAGGGGGGUUUUCCGCCCCCCUUAGUGCUGCAGCUAACGCAUUAAGCACUCCGCCUGGGAGUACGACCGCAAGGUUG
rnacentral:rRNA from 1 species